AGUCAUUCUUCUGGCAAACAUAUGUGGAAGGCCUCCGGGGUAGCACACCCUUCACCGUGCCCUGGAGAUGCUGGGAUGCGACAAAAAAGUAGGCUUCUCCCAUGAUGAACCUCACGGUUGGAGGCAUCUGUCCACCCAUGUGGUUCCAGACACGUUCAUGUGGCCACCAUGACCCCGUCGGCAUCACAGGGGUAACCAAGAGAGCAGCAAGUUCCUGGGACAGAGGAGACAGAAGGGAAUUUCCAGGUUCUUCAGGACGUUCACAACCACACUGAGAAGCAUCUUUGCAGAUAAGUAUUUAAACUUACCAGCCCAUAGCCUACCAGCCUGCCCUCUUCUGGUCUGUGCAGGAAAGUGUAGUAUCCUAGAAUGCCAAAGUGGGAGGGGAAAUGGGUGAUGUAGCUCAUUCUCUUUUCUACCUCUAUGGAAGAAAGAAAGAGCCUGUCCCCAUUUUGUGGGGUCCCAGAAAGGGUGAUUUUCACACUUCACAUUUGGCGUUAGGGCUAGUAUUUCACAAACAUUACCGUCUGGAACUUUUGAAGGCUGAGUUAAAUGACUUCAUCUUGUGUACUUGUAGAACUGCUAUUAGAAGGAGGCUGGGGACUCCCUGAUGAUGUGAACCAGCCCUUCUCUUCUCAGUUUCAGCACUUUGUGAUCAUAUUUAUAAACCUUGGACAGGGCUCCUUGGCCUUAGAGUUAAGUGAAGAGUUAACACUGUGACUUUAGAUGCAUUUUUCUCAGUGUAAGUGUCUGAGCUCAUCUCCAGUUCUGGACUCGUGCCCCCACUCCCGGGUGCUGACAGCAAGCUCUGAAGAUAUGCUGAGAGAGCUCCCUGACUCUCCUGACUCAGGUCUGCCAGUUGAUGAAGACAGCACAGUUGUUACCAAAAACAAAACCUGGCAGAUGGUCCUAGGUCAGGAUUAGUGGUCAUUCUCUGGUCUUCUCCAGACUGGUGACACAGGGUGGUCUUAAAAGAGUCCUAGUCCAGCCUCUGGCUCCCCGAAUUUCCUCUGGUGCAUGGGGCAUCAGGAAAGGGCAGGGGAGAAGGAGGGGGAGCAGAAAAAUAACUGAGGCUGGGCAGAAGGGUCCCUUCCAUUUCCCAUCCAUUGCUUCAAACAAUGGGUGAUUACCGUGCACCUUGAGUGAAUGUCAAGGCAGGAAGGGUUCCAGGGCCACCCAGUGUGGCAGGAGCAGAGCUGGGAUCAGAAUUCUGGAUUCCUGACUCUCCGUUCAGCUGCUAUUCAGCUAUCACCAAGCUGCUGAGUUUGUCCUACUUUCUCCUGGGUCACAUUCUGCUGUUGUUGGGAAACAGGGAGUGAGUGAAGGGAACCUGGGAACCCUUCUCCCCUCACCUUUUAAGGAUGUUCUGGGGUGGAAUAAAGAGAGGUGGAGGGUGGGGUGCCUGGGCCCAGCCUCCCUGGCUCCUGGUCCUUCUUUCUUCAGCAGGGAGUUCUGGCAAGGCCUGGGCCUGGGGAGGGGGCCUGGGUGCAGUUUUCUCCUGCGGUGUGGUUGGCUCUUUUGUCUUCCAGGAUGGGCCUGUGGGGUCUGUGUGGGGAAGGAAGGAGCUGGGAGCCUGGGCUGCCUGUGUGUCGGCUGGAUGCUGCCAGCACCGGCAUGGACCAAGCAACUUCUCUGAGCCAGAUGCUGGGGACGCAGAGGUGAACCCAGAGACAUGAUCCCAUCUGCUCAGAUCUUCAUGUCAGAACACGCUUUAUUACAGUCUCGGCAAGGGGGUGGCUCCAUCUGGGCCGCAUCUCCAGGACUCCUGGCCUGGACUUCUCUUUGGACCUCGGGUGACCUUGGAUUCUGGCCACAGUGACUUAGCGGUCAGACUCCGGUGGUUUUCUAGCCCGCUGGGUGACUCCCUGAAGAUCUCAUCCUCUUCACACCUGUUGGGAUGGAGCCUCCCAUGGAUAGGAACUCUUCCUGGUUGAUGCUCAGCAGAUGACUGAUCUGGCUCUGGAGGACAGCUCCAGGGGUAUGAGGGAGGCCUGGCAGCCCACUACUCCCUCCUCACCUGCUCGGGCCCUGCCUGCUGGGCCCUAUUGUCUGGGUCUGGGGGCCCUUUCCUGCCCCAUGUGAACUUGAUUCCUCCUCGCGUUUCUGCCGGUGACCAGACAGAGCCUGGCCUGGGCCAAGUCCCCACUGACCACACUUUCCCCAAGGCUGGGUCUCAAAGGACCCUACAGGAUGGGGACAGGAACAAGGAUGGGAGUCGGGGAGGGGCUGUCAGGCAGAGGGCAGAUGCAGCUCCUCGGGUGCCGCUGGCUGGAGUCCUUUGUCUCCAUUU
ensembl:lncRNA MIAT myocardial infarction associated transcript